CUCCUCUGUGCUCCCAUAACACUCUUCAACCCGCUCACCAUGUUUUCCUAUGUCACAAUGUGUUAUUGUACAGCAAAUACCUGGCUUAGGUCAGUGUUCCAUAACUACUUAUUGCAACUGCCUAUUUAGUUGCCAACCAUGUGGAUAGUAGACCAUGAGUUCUUUCCAUUUAUUUCACAUGUGUUGAGCUCAUACUAUGUGCCAGCUACUAUUUGGUGUUGGAGAUACAGAAACAAAUAAGCUGUGCCUCAUGGUUAGAUGUACUCAGCAGGCUAGAUGCAUACAGAUGUCCCCACUGUGUGGGAUCCUUGGCCGGAAGUGGGGUGUGGUGCUCACCUGCUGCAUUUAGCCCAAUCUCCAAUGAGCUUUCUGAAUCUGCUGCCAGAGUCUCAAUGAGUAGAAUCCUUCCUGGGGCUGGAACUACUGACAGGUGGAACAGACUGCUGAGGAUUAUAAGUUGGACCAUCAAGGAAGGCUGGGGACAGUGGCAAAGAUCUGGACAACCUUGGAGGAGUAUUCCUGCAGCUGUGGUGGAGGGUGGACCAAGAGAUGGAGACUGGGAGUAAAAUGUGAAGGGCACACACUCCUAGGUAGAGACCGACUGCCCUGUAACCAUGGCAGCAGGUAAUCCCUAGAACCUGUGUUAAACCUAUGGAACCCACUAAUGAAACUCUGCCACUAUCACCAAUCUCCUGAAAGUGAGACCGAUUCCAG
rnacentral:lncRNA from 1 species